rnacentral:rRNA from 1 species
CGCAACGGGAGGAGCGUGCGGUNNAAUUGGAUUCAACGCCGGAAAACUCACCGGGGGCGACGGAGGGAUGAAAGCCAGGCCGAAGACCUUGCCCGAUCCUCCGAGAGGUGGUGCAUGGCCAUCGUCAGUUCGUACCGUAAGGCGUUCUGUUAAGUCAGAUAACGAACGAGACCCUCGCCUUCAGUCGCUAUCCCACGAGUGGUCGUGGGAGCACACUGAGGGGAUCNCUGCCGCUAAGGCAGAGGAAGGAGAGGUCUACGGUAGGUCCGUAUGCCCCGAAUCUCCCGGGCAACACGCGCGCUACAAAGGUGGGGACAAUGGNAUCCNACCCCNAAAGGGGAAGG